AUGGCGGCCGCGGGAGAUCCUCUCCAAGGUCAAGCACGUCCAGGCCAAGCUUGCUGGCCGCCCUCGCGGGUGACUGCCUCCGCGGUGACGAUGACGGCCUCGUCGUCCCUGGAGGCCGCGGCGCCCCUCAAGGCCGACCUCCGCCACGUGAGUGAUCCAUCGAUCUCGUCUCUCCAACAGUGUUCUGGAUGCAUGCACGAGUUCGACCUGGACAAGCCGCCGGUGCUGUAG
rnacentral:rRNA from 1 species